CUUCCCGUACCGAACUCUUCCCUGUAGCCUAGGGACCGAGAUCCCUGGCCUGGGGGCGCAGCUGGAUGGAAAGACGGAAUGCUGUCCUGAAGACCGUCAUUCCUCCCAGCCCAGGUAACCACUACAGAAGGGCAACUCAAGUUAACCAAUUUGUCUCUACCUGGGGUUUCUCUAUAACCUCCCAAUAUAUUCCCCA